AUGCAUUGAUGAGCUUUAACCCAGAUAACAUUUGUAUAGUGCAACAACAGCCUUGAAUAGUAGAUUGAUAAUUUGCGUAGAAGGGCCUUAAAAGAGAAGGAACAAAUAAGAGCUGGAGGAAGAUGUCCAAGAGUGUCUCAUGAACAUCCACUGACUAAAUGUAUAAAAUAAACGACUGUCAAUGGAAAAGAUUGAAUAUGAAUGGAUUAUGUAAUGGGACAGGAUAAAGCCUGUUUGUUUUGCUAUGAAGCUUCAGUUCAAAUUGAUGACCAAAUAUAUGCCAAGAUAUGUAAUGCUGAAGACUAAUACCAGAUUGAUCGCCAGGGAAUUACAAAGUUAUUUUCAAGAGCACAGUACCACGACACCGGUAAAUGGGAAGGGGGGGAAUGCUGCAAACCUGCAAUUGUGACCAGAACAACUACCAAGAGAUGCAACUAAACUACAAAGAGAGAUGUAUUCUGUGGAAUGUUUGUGUACCUACUUAAAACUGAUGAAAGUGAACUAAAGAAAAGCUAAUGGAAUGGGCAAUAAGAUAAAAGAAACUAAAGCAAUUAGCUAUAGAAAAACAACUCACAUGGUAUGACUACAGAGAGAAUGUUCAGAUAGGUGUUGCAAAGAAGUUAAGUUGUGAAAAAGGAUAGUGCAAAUGCUCAAUAUGCUGUCUGAAAAUGGCAUUGAGUUGAAAUUAGAGGCCAAAAUUAUAUAAGUAGUUUCCAGUACAAUCCACAGCAUGUGCCUACCAAAUAUAUCAGAUCUUUUCCUCAGAUUACUUUAGCAACUGUGCAUUCAAUGCGUAGGUUCAGGGAAAGUUCUGUGCUAACUGCAUCUUAGGUCAAAAGAUCCAGAUGGAGAACAAUAGAAUAGCAAAAACAGUGCGAGUGCAACAUUCCAAGAAUGGUUGAACAAUGAUUCAUAUAUACAUUAGGAUUAGAUCCAUGGCCAGAUGAUAGAACAAAAGGAAUAUGGGUAAUGAAAGCAAAUAAGGUUAUAUCAGAUGAAGGGAAGAUAUCUGAAACAUAAUAAAAGUAAAUUAGCAUUAAAAAGGGAGUGGGAAAAAAAUGGCAUUAAAAAGAAAAAUAAGUGACCUGGUCAACUAGCACUGCAACAGAACCUGAUAAAAAGAAAGCAAAUAUAUGAACUAGAAGCAUCUGAUGCCCAUUAUUCAAGCAAUGCUUCCCAACAAAGAUAAUGUGCAUCAUUUGGAAAAGUCUUGUAGCUAAGCAUAAUGAACAGCUCCAUCCUUAUGAGGAUUUCACAACCUGCCAGUGGGUCACUACUUAGUGGAAGACUGCCCACACUAGUUGUUGUACCAUUGGUGGCUGCAUUGGAGAAAGAAGUGAAUAGAUCUCGAUUUUCAGUUCUCACAAGUCAGUAGUCACCAGCACAAACACAGAAAAAAUAAUCAAAAUGCAAAGCAACAAUGUGCUUACAGUUUAGCAUUGACUGUCCUACUAAGGCUCCAGUCAUUUGCAUCAGCCUUCACAUGCACAAUGAUCAAUUUCUUGAUCAAAGACAAGAAUGGCGACAUACACAAAAUAUAGUAUGAAAGCCUUCACUUAGUACAUGGUGGAAACCAGCACAGCAUGGUUUGCACAUGUGAAGAACUUUAAGAUGCAGACUUUCACAUUUCCGGUGAUCUGUGAAACCACUUUGGUGUAAUUAAAAAUAUUAUCGUUGAAAAUUUAUAAAAGUUACCUACAUAAAUUAUGUUUGCAAAAUUGAAAAGAAAAAAGUUCUGGCAUUCAACAAAAGCUGAUCAAGACGUGUUGAUUUAACUGACACAUGUUAUGAAACCAAAGUUUGGACCUGGAUCAAGGUUUAAUGACUAUAAUACAAAAUGCAAGUAAUAGUUCUGGGAUGAAAAGACAUCCACCUACCUGUAAUUUACCCAUGUAAAAAAACUAUCAUCAAGGUUAGACGGAACUCAACAAGUACUUCUAACAAAAAUAUGGAAACCUACCUUACAUUUACCUAGAAGGAAGACAGAGAAAGGGAGAAUGAGACAAGCAUGUGUGCGCGUGCAUGCACGAGAGAGAGAGAGAGAGAGAGAG
rnacentral:lncRNA from 1 species